CCAACCCCCCUCUCUCUCAAAAAUAAAACAUUAUGCAUCGAUGAAAACACACGCACAGUUCCGAAGAAUAAAAUAACUCCAACAUGGUCCACCAGCAACUGCUAUCAAAAGUAAGUUCUAGGAGAAGCAAAACUGUUACAGUACGUUUAUGGGAGAAGAAAAAAUUGUUCGUCACCUCUGUCGGCAUCAAUUGUUCAUCUUAGAGAUCCUUCUCAAGAUAUAUGGAUGUUGGUGCUGCUUUGGUGGUGUUGGUGUUCAAGAAUCUUAUCGAUUUCAAUUAUCCUAAUUUAGGGUAUUUUUAAUUUGUGCUUUAGAAGAAAGAAUUUCUGGUAUGGUCGAUUUCAAUGUGCAGUUUCCAUAUCCACUGCUUUCGAUUUGUGUUAUUCUCUUUUUUUCUCCUUCUUCGUGGACUAACUUCUGUGUUCCUUUAUGUUGAGUUUAAAAUUUAAGUCUUUCUCUAAUUAGUUUUUCAAAAAUUUAGAACCCUAGAGGAAUAAAGCACAAAAACAGUGAUUCUGAUGGUGGAAGCUUAACUGUGAUUUGCUUUUUGUUGGGUGCUAUCAUAUAAAGGUAUAUCUAUUGAUUUUUAGGUAUUUGCUUGAUGACGGAGUUUUAGCUUUUCACUGAAUUAUUAUAUUUUCAGUUUAUAGCUUGUUGGAACAAAUCACGUGAUGGUUUGUUAUGCUUUAUUUAAUUUUGCACAAUCUCUUUUAGAGAAUUGUUGUUCAGUUCUUAUGGAAAAGGUGACAUCUUUUAGGUUCUUUCUUCCACCUAAUGUGAUUAUUUCUUUAUCUUUGUUUUGUUUAUGUGCAAGUUUAAGUUAAAUAGAUAGCUUUAUUCUAUGUAAUAUUGGGGUUAAAUAUAAAAUGUGCAUUUUGCUUUUGCUCUAUGAGCUAUUUACAUACCCAACAAGAAAAGCAAUCAAGAAAAUUAUUUGUAGCAUAGGAAUGAGACAUUUUAAGAUUUUUGGACUUUUGGACUUGCUUUGUCUACCAUUGAAGUGAAUGACUUAAUUUUUCGGUGUGACCCUGCAUUGUUGGUACAUAUUCAGUGGAGUGCUAAGAGUCCGUAUUCUUUAAUAAAAUGGUGCACUUUUAGGAACGAGUUGAGCUUCCGUCACAUUUUUUAAGGAGGCAACCUCAAGUGAGUUCUAUCAGCAAUAAAAGAAUGCACAGUUUAUUGAUCAUUUUGUCUGAAAAACAUCUCUAAAACCAAAUUUACUGUUAAAUUUCUCCUUGCUGCUAUUCAGAAAAAUAGUUUAUUGCGUCGUUCCAAAAUAUAAGCAUCUAGAUUCUCAAAAAUAGAGUUGUCUUUUAUUAAUUCCCCUUUUUGCUCUUUUAUCUGGCGCGAAAGAAAUAAAUCUUUCUACUUUAUAGUUUUGGCCUCAGAGAUUCGUAAGAGUAAUCAUGAUAGCUAGGAAGAAUUGAAGAGUAGAUAAAAUCAUGAUAUAUAACUAUAAAAUUAAUGACCCACUGCGUCCUCCAUUAUGACCUUAUAGACUACAUUUAGUCUUACUGCAUUACUGAACAAGAAUCUAUUUUUUGUCAUUAGUCGGAACAUGGAAAUGAUAUUUUGGCAUGUUCGCUGUAUUCUUAAGCUAUGUUUCUUCAAUUUCUUACUAAAAACGACUGCAGUAAUCGUACUUAGAUGAUACUCUGGCAUUGGCUUAUUUUUGGUUUCGUUGUUUCCUCUCAUACAUGGACUAGAAGCAAGUUUCUAGAAGUAAUCCAAACAACUAGAGAUUACAUUUAGUUUUUGUUCCUUCGGCUUAAAGCUAUGCUACGCACUUAUUUACCAUUUUAUACUUAAUAUGUAUUGUUCUUCUCUCUGUUUUAAAUGUAUUCUAUUUCUUCUUCUCUCUGUUUCAGUUUUUUGUCUUCAAUGAAGCGAGCGCUUUGCUUCUUGCGUCGCACUUUAAGCGAAGCGAGUCCUUGUCUCUGUUUUCUGAUUCGCGCUUUCAAAAGAACUGAUCAUAUAAAGGUAAAAGGCUAGCAUGUUGUACGAAAGGUUCAACCUCGUGAUUAUUUUGACGUGCAAAAAAAGGAUGAUGAGUUUGAGGAAUUAACUAAUAAGAAUAUGAUGCUUUAUUCUGAAUGUGUAUCUAUGAAUCUGAUUGUGCUUCUGACUAUUUGUACAGAUGGAAUUUACUUAGUGUUAGAUUGUUUCUCUGUAUAGCGUGUUUGUGUUCCUGUAUAUUCUCUGUAAUAGUUAUUGUAUAGUUCUUGAACUUGCUAAACUUCACCAAGUCUCUUUAAUAGUCAUUGUAUGGUUCUUGGGUUAGCUUAAACAUAUUCAACUUCUUUUUGUAUUAGGUUGACAUGAAUCCAUCAAAAUUUUAUAAGCCUGAAACCAUCAACUUCAAAGACUGUUAAGCAUGUAUACAUACCAGCUGGUGCCUUAGCAAGGGGACGAGGACAAAGCAUAAGAACUUUGGGCUCCACUAGAUUAAGAGCUUGUUUGAAUUAGCAUAUUUUCGGUGCUUUUAAGCCAAGAUAGCUUUUAAGCACUUUUGUAGUGUUUGGGUAAAAUAAAAAAGUGCUUUUAAGCACUUGUUUUUAAGCUAAAAUGACAAAAUUUAGCCAAAAGUCAUAAGCUAGAAUUCCUAACUUAUGGAUUUUGGCUUAUAAGUCAAAAGUCAUAAGCCCAUCAAACGGGCUCUAAGUGUUGAUAGAUAACUCCAAUUGGCAAAAGUAAAAUAAUAAAGCAGUAGCUUUUUGUCGAAUGAGCUAGUACAGAAUAAUAGCCUUGUGCCCCCUGGUUUUGAUCCAAUGGAAUAUGAUGUUCCCCUCGCUCAAGAAGCUGAAGUGAUGCAAGACACUCAAGAGAAGUGAAAUAAGUCCAUGUGAAUAUGAAAAGGCAAAAAAAGAGUGAGGAAAGAAGAGGUGUAAAGAUGUUUCAAGCCUCAAAGCUGGAGAGAAGUUGAGUUAUUUUUUAUCAGAAUCGACUUGUUGGGAAGCAUCACCGCUCAUAUACGAGAUAAUUAGGUGUUAGUUCAUGAUUGUAAUAUGUGCCCAUUGCAGGUACACUCUUGGGCGGAUAUCGAGGAAGAGUAGUUGGAAUAUACGUGGGAAGCUGCAACUAUAAGUUAAGCAUUACUUUCUUGAUUUAUUUUUCAAGCUUGAUGCAUGUCAACUAACUUGUAUGUGUUCUUUUGCGUGCCAUAAUAUUUACGCUCGAUGUAUUUAUGAACACUCCAUUAUUUUGAACUUUUUGGUUUUAACUUUUUGGUUUUGCUGUUGGUUGUAAACAGUCCCUGCAAGACACAAAUCUCAGUUUCAUAAAAUCUACCACAACUCUAUUAGUCACACAUAGAACUAGAAUAGUUAUCAAGUCCUUGCUAUGAGUUUCAAGAAUCAAGAUCCUCUUCGUUUCCUUGAAAUAAUACCAUAGAUUUUGCAGGAUUAAUUUUUGGUGUCCACUUAACCUAUUUAAAUAAGUCUCUCCCAAAAGAAACCAUAUGGUUCAUUUCUUUAUAGUGUUGCCCUCCUAUUUCAAUAUUAUCUGCCAAACAAAAGUGACAAAAUGAUGUUGUGAUGUUUUUAAUUUUGAAUUGUACUGUGCAAAAUGAAAAUAAGCAAGUAAUCAAAACUAACGGCUGAGUGACUGUCAUUGUUAUUUAGAGAACUCACUUUAUCGCUUAAAUAGCAUGGAGGCUAGGGGAAGCGAGUGGGGCCGCCCCAGAAGGCUGAGGGUGACAAAGGGUAGCAUGAAGCGACCGCUUCUGUUCAAGAGGCAGAAGCGACUGAAACAUGAACUUCAUUUAUUUUCACAAAAAAAAAAAUCGACUUUAAAGAGAAAAAGAUGCAACUUUUUUAUCUAGUUCACUGCUCUUUGCCUUGGUCUGGGGUUUGCAAGUCACGACUGAUUUAUCUUCUUUGAUGCUCUCUGCCUCCUCUGUUAUCACUGCUUUUUUCUCUUCUUCUUUUCUCUGAUCUGAUAUCACUGCUACUGCUGCAGCUUUAAUUUUUUUUCGUUUCUCCUUUUGUGUUAUCUAUUGCUGCUACUGCAGAUACUUUUUUCUUUCUAUUCUUCUCUUAUAUUGUUGUGUUCAUCUGCUUCUUCGGACUUCAGCUAUUGUUUUAUUUAUUUUUUGUGUUUCUUUUUUGUCUUUAUUAAUUUAAUUGAUUUAUCUAAUGUGUUUUUUGUUUUUCUAUUUGCUCUCCCUUUUUCUAUUUGCUCUCUAUUUUUCCAGUAGGCAAUAUCUCUGUUGUAGACUUUCAUUUAGUUUCUCUUUGCUUCAUUCAUUUGCAACUGAACAAUAUAAUGCAUGCACUCAAACGCUCCUGCUGCAACAAACAUGGUCGUUAGCGAAUUUUGAUCGUGAUAACUUGUUCAUCUCAAUGUUGAUGUAUGAAAAAUCACUCAUUGAUCUUAGAGCCUUACUUAGAGGUCCUUCUGUAGUUCAACCCAGAAAUUGAGGGUAAAAAACUAGUUAUGCCUUUUUUUUUUUUUUUGGUGUUCCAUAUUUAAGGGAGAGAUGAUUGACUGACUUCUCCUCUUUACAAGAAUGAGGUAGUUUUUUGUAUAUGUUUUAAAAGUUCGAACCUAAGCAGUCACUGCAUAUUAAAAGUUCGAAUCUAAGCAGUCACUGCGUUUCUGCAGUAGAACUUAGAAAACUCAAGUGCACAAGUUUGAGCAUAGUUACUUUUCAUUUUUUCCAAGGAGUCAUGUUUAGAUUGCUGUACAUUAGAACUAGAUUUAAGGAGUUUAACAGAGACAUUUGAGGUAUAAGAGUCGUAUUUUUGGUGCUCCAAUUGAAUUGUUUGCCUAACUAAUAACAAUCUACUUGGCUCAAUAAUAUUCUGUGUGCUAUUCACAUUAUAGAGUUCCUACAACAAUCUGUUUCUUAUUCCUUUGCCAUCUGUAACACAUUCGAGAAUUUUAUGAAAGACGCCGUUUUUUUUUUUUUUUUGCUCAGAUGAAUAUUUAAGGACAACUGAAGAAAAGCAGUUUGAUAAGUUAAUUACAAAAAAAAUGUCAAAACAUAUUGGGCACUAUAAUUACAAAAGCUUCCCAAGAUCUCUCCUAUCCUUUAAAGCGAUAAUGUUGUUCAUUUGAUUCACUAGAGUUUUUUAUUCUCUGUGUUUAUUUUUUGGUUAUUGACAUUCAACAAUACAAGAAAAAAGUGGACACAUUUCUCUUUCUUUAUGUUGGGAAAUCAUCUAAGUUUGCUGGACUAUCUGGUAUAUAUAAGUUAGUGUUCAUUUGCUUUAUUAGAUACUUAAUGUUUCACAUCUCUGUGUGAUGACUGAGCACAAAUUGAGGUCUCCUCUUUCUUCAUUUUGAUGGUUUAUUUGUUGUUGCUAAACUGAUAUAAAUUUCUUCUUUUAUCAGAUUAAGAAUUCGAAGUCGAUCCUAUCCUUGAAGAAAGUGCAGAGCAAAAUUGAAGUACAAAAAGUUUUUAUUUUGUUAGUGGUGGUUUAAAGAUGAUGUCUUAUGCACACAUGCUACUUUUUUCUAUUUUAGGAGUAAUAAAAAAUGAUGUCAUGCAAUUUGGAUGUGUAUAUUUUUUGGUAAUGUGAUACUUUAGUUCUUUGUAUUGACGAAUAACAUUGAUGUUUUAAUGAAUAUUGAUUAUUUGGUUUA